rnacentral:rRNA from 1 species
UGCGGAGGGGGCGAGCGUUAUUCGGAAUUAUUGGGCGUAAAGGGCGCGUAGGCGGCCUUGCAAGUCAAAGGUGAAAUCCCUCGGCUCAACUGAGGAACUGCCUUUGAAACUGCACGGCUUGAGGCCGGGAGGGGGUAGCGGAAUUCCCAGUGUAGCGGUGAAAUGCGUAGAUAUUGGGAGGAACACCAGUGGCGAAGGCGGCUACCUGGACCGGUUCUGACGCUGAUGCGCGAAAGCGUGGGUAGCAAACAGG